rnacentral:piRNA from 1 species
AUACCUGCAGGCAGAACACUAUA